GCCUAGUGGUUAGAGCGUUGGACUAGUAACCAGCAGGUAGCCUAGUGGUUAGAGCGUUGGACUAGUAACCAGCAGGUAGCCUAGUGGUUAGAGCGUUGGACUAGUAACCAGCAGGUAGCCUAGUGGUUAGAGCGUUGGACUAGUAACCAGCAGGUAGCCUAGUGGUUCGAGCGUUGGACUAGUAACCAGCAGGUAGCCUAGUGGUUAGAGCGUUGGACUAGUAACCAGCAGGUAGCCUAGUGGUUAGAGCGUUGGACUAGUAACCAGCAGGUAGCCUAGUGGUUAGAGCGUUGGACUAGUAACCAGCAGGUAGCCUAGUGGUUAGAGCGUUGGACUAGUAACCAGCAGGUAGCCUAGUGGUUCGAGCGUUGGACUAGUAACCAGCAGGUAGCCUAGUGGUUAGAGCGUUGGACUAGUAACCAGCAGGUAGCCUAGUGGUUAGAGCGUUGGACUAGUAACCAGCAGGUAGCCUAGUGGUUAGAGCGUUGGACUAGUAACCAGCAGGGAGCCUAGUGGUUAGAGCGUUGGACUAGUAACCAGCAGGUAGCCUAGUGGUUAGAGCGUUGGACUAGUAACCAG